UACGUAGGGGCCUAGCGUUGUCCGGAUUUAUUGGGCGUAAAGAGCUCGUAGGCGGUUUGGUGAGUCGGGGGUGAAAUCUUUCCGCUUAACGGGAAGCGUGCCUCCGAUACUGGCCGCCUCGAGGGAGGUAGGGGCAUGUGGAACUUCCGGUGGAGCGGUGAAAUGCGUAGAUAUCGGAAGGAACGCCGGUGGCGAAAGCGACGUGCUGGACCUCUUCUGACGCUGAGGCGCGAAAGCUAGGGGAGCAAACGGG
rnacentral:rRNA from 1 species